GACGAACGCUGGCGGCGUGCUUAACACAUGCAAGUCGAGCGAACAAAACUCCUUCGGGAGUGGAGUUAGCGGCGGACGGGUGAGGUAACACGUGGGUAACCUGCCUUAUAGAGGGGGAUAGCCUUCCGAAAGGAAGAUUAAUACCGCAUAACGUACGAAACCGGCAUCGGUUUUGUACCAAAGGAGCAAUCCGCUGAUAGAUGGGCUCGCGUCCGAUUAGGUAGUUGGUGAGGUAACGGCUCACCAAGCCUACGAUCGGUAGCCGGACUGAGAGGUUGAACGGCCACAUUGGACUGAGACACGGCCCAGACUCCUACGGAGGCAGCAGUGGGGAAUAUUGCACAAUGGGGGAAACCCUGAUGCAGCGACGCCGCGUGA
rnacentral:rRNA from 1 species